UAUUAGGUUGAUGCAAAAGUAAUUGUGGUUUUUGUCGUUAAAAAUAAUGGCAAAAACUGCAAUUACUUUUGCACCAACUUAAUA
rfam:Pan troglodytes isolate Yerkes chimp pedigree #C0471 (Clint) chromosome 19, whole genome shotgun sequence.